AUUGAACGCUGGCGGCAUGCUUUACACAUGCAAGUCGAGCGGCAGCGCGGGGGCAACCCUGGCGGCGAGCGGCGAACGGGUGAGUAAUGCAUCGGAACGUGUCCCGUAGUGGGGGAUAACCCGGCGAAAGCCGGACUAAUACCGCAUAUUUCUCUACGGAGGAAAGGGGGGGACCCGCAAGGGCCUCUCGCUAUGGGAGCGGCCGAUGUCCGAUUAGCUUGUUGGUGAGGUAAUGGCUUACCAAGGCGACGAUCGGUAGCUGGUCUGAGAGGAUGAUCAGCCACACUGGGACUGAGACACGGCCCAGACUCCUACGGGAGGCAGCAGUGGGGAAUUUUGGACAAUGGGGGCAACCCUGAUCCAGCCAUGCCGCGUGCGGGAAGAAGGCCUUCGGGUUGUAAACCGCUUUUGUCCGGAAAGAAAAGGCGCCUCCUAAUACGGGGCGUUCUUGACGGUACCGGAAGAAUAAGCACCGGCUAACUACGUGCCAGCCGCCGCCGUAAGAC
rnacentral:rRNA from 1 species